GGAACAGUACUCAAGUGGCCGAAGAGGACACGUUGGAAACGUGUUAGGGGUGUCAAAGCCCGCGCAGGUUCAAAUCCUGUCUGUUCCGCCA
rnacentral:tRNA from 12 species